UACAGAGGUCCCAAGCGUUGUUCGGAUUCAUUGGGCGUAAAGGGUGCGUAGGUGGCGCCGUAAGUCGGGUGUGAAAUUUCGGAGCUUAACUCCGAAACUGCAUUCGAUACUGCGGUGCUUGAGGACUGGAGGAGGAGACGUAGAAUUCGAUGGUGUAGCAGUGAAAUGCGUAGAGAUCAUGAGGAAGACCAGUGGCGAAGGCGGGUCUCUGGACAGUUCCUGACACUGAGGCACGAAGGCCAGGGGAGCAAACGGG
rnacentral:rRNA from 1 species